rnacentral:rRNA from 1 species
AGAGUUUGAUCAUGGCUCAGGAUGAACGCUGGCGGCGUGCCUAACACAUGCAAGUCGAACGAAGCACAUUGGAUUGAUUCUUCGGAAGAAAGAGAAUGUGACUGAGUGGCGGACGGGUGAGUAACGCGUGGGUAACCUGCCUCAUACAGGGGGAUAACAGUUAGAAAUGACUGCUCAUCAUCGCAUGAGACCACGGAGUCGCAUGACUCAGUGGGAAAAACUCCGGUGGUAUGAGAUGGACCCGCGUCUGAUUAGGUAGUUGGUGGGGUAACGGCCUACCAAGCCGACGAUCAGUAGCCGACCUGAGAGGGUGACCGGCCACAUUGGGACUGAGACACGGCCCAAACUCCUACGGGAGGCAGCAGUGGGGAAUAUUGCACAAUGGGGGAAACCCUGAUGCAGCGACGCCGCGUGAGCGAAGAAGUAUUUCGGUAUGUAAAGCUCUAUCAGCAGGGAAGAAAAUGACGGUACCUGACUAAGAAGCACCGGCUAAAUACGUGCCAGCAGCCGCGGUAAUACGUAUGGUGCAAGCGUUAUCCGGAUUUACUGGGUGUAAAGGGAGCGUAGACGGCUGUGUAAGUCUGAAGUGAAAGCCCGGGGCUCAACCCCGGGACUGCUUUGGAAACUAUGCAGCUAGAGUGUCGGAGAGGUAAGUGGAAUUCCCAGUGUAGCGGUGAAAUGCGUAGAUAUUGGGAGGAACACCAGUGGCGAAGGCGGCUUACUGGACGAUGACUGACGUUGAGGCUCGAAAGCGUGGGGAGCAAACAGGAUUAGAUACCCUGGUAGUCCACACCGUAAACGAUGACUACUAGGUGUCGGGUGUCACAGACAUUCGGUGCCGCAGCA